GCUCAGGACGAACGCUGGCGGCGUGCCUAAUACAUGCAAGUAGAACGCUGAAGAGAGGAGCUUGCUCUUCUUGGAUGAGUUGCGAACGGGUGAGUAACGCGUAGGUAACCUGCCUUGUAGCGGGGGAUAACUAUUGGAAACGAUAGCUAAUACCGCAUAACAAUGGAUGACACAUGUCAUUUAUUUGAAAGGGGCAAUUGCUCCACUACAAGAUGGACCUGCGUUGUAUUAGCUAGUAGGUGAGGUAAUGGCUCACCUAGGCGACGAUACAUAGCCGACCUGAGAGGGUGAUCGGCCACACUGGGACUGAGACACGGCCCAGACUCCUACGGGAGGCAGCAGUAGGGAAUCUUCGGCAAUGGGGGCAACCCUGACCGAGCAACGCCGCGUGAGUGAAGAAGGUUUUCGGAUCGUAAAGCUCUGUUGUAAGUCAAGAACGGGUGUGAGAGUGGAAAGUUCACACUGUGACGGUAGCUUACCAGAAAGGGACGGCUAACUACGUGCCAGCAGCCGCGGUAAUACGUAGGUCCCGAGCGUUGUCCGGAUUUAUUGGGCGUAAAGCGAGCGCAGGCGGUUUGAUAAGUCUGAAGUUAAAGGCUGUGGCUCAACCAUAGUUCGCUUUGGAAACUGUCAAACUUGAGUGCAGAAGGGGAGAGUGGAAUUCCAUGUGUAGCGGUGAAAUGCGUAGAUAUAUGGAGGAACACCGGUGGCGAAAGCGGCUCUCUGGUCUGUAACUGACGCUGAGGCUCGAAAGCGUGGGGAGCGAACAGGAUUAGAUACCCUGGUAGUCCACGCCGUAAACGAUGAGUGCUAGGUGUUGGAUCCUUUCCGGGAUUCAGUGCCGCAGCUAACGCAUUAAGCACUCCGCCUGGGGAGUACGACCGCAAGGUUGAAACUCAAAGGAAUUGACGGGGGCCCGCACAAGCGGUGGAGCAUGUGGUUUAAUUCGAAGCAACGCGAAGAACCUUACCAGGUCUUGACAUCCCGAUGCUAUUUCUAGAGAUAGAAAGUUACUUCGGUACAUCGGUGACAGGUGGUGCAUGGUUGUCGUCAGCUCGUGUCGUGAGAUGUUGGGUUAAGUCCCGCAACGAGCGCAACCCCUAUUGUUAGUUGCCAUCAUUCAGUUGGGCACUCUAGCGAGACUGCCGGUAAUAAACCGGAGGAAGGUGGGGAUGACGUCAAAUCAUCAUGCCCCUUAUGACCUGGGCUACACACGUGCUACAAUGGUUGGUACAACGAGUUGCGAGUCGGUGACGGCGAGCUAAUCUCUUAAAGCCAAUCUCAGUUCGGAUUGUAGGCUGCAACUCGCCUACAUGAAGUCGGAAUCGCUAGUAAUCGCGGAUCAGCACGCCGCGGUGAAUACGUUCCCGGGCCUUGUACACACCGCCCGUCACACCACGAGAGUUUGUAACACCCGAAGUCGGUGAGGUAACCUUUUGGAGCCAGCCGCCUAAGGUGGGACA
rnacentral:rRNA from 1 species